rnacentral:rRNA from 1 species
UACGGAGGGUGCAAGCGUUAUCCGGAUUCACUGGGUUUAAAGGGUGCGUAGGUGGGCAGGUAAGUCAGUGGUGAAAUCUCUGGGCUUAACCCGGAAACUGCCGUUGAUACUAUCUGUCUUGAAUAUAGUGGAGGUGAGCGGAAUAUGUCAUGUAGCGGUGAAAUGCUUAGAUAUGACAUAGAACAUCGAUUGCGAAGGCAGCUCGCUACACUAUUAUUGACGCUGAGGCACGAAAGCGUGGGGAUCAAACAGG